AGCGAACGCUGGCGGCAGGCUUAACACAUGCAAGUCGGGCGGGCAUCCUUGUGGUGUCAGCGGCAGACGGGUGAGUAACGCGUGGGAACGUGCCCUUCGGUUCGGAAUAACUCAGGGAAACUUGAGCUAAUACCGGAUACGUGCGAGAGCAGAAAGGUUUAUCUGCCGAAGGAUCGGCCCGCGUCUGAUUAGCUAGUUGGUGAGGUUAUGGCUCACCAAGGCGACGAUCAGUAGCUGGUCUGAGAGGAUGAUCAGCCACACUGGGACUGAGACACGGCCCAGACUCCUACGGGAGGCAGCAGUGGGGAAUAUUGGACAAUGGGGGCAACCCUGAUCCAGCCAUGCCGCGUGAGUGAUGACGGCCUUAGGGUUGUAAAGCUCUUUUCUCCGGGACGAUAAUGACGGUACCGGAGGAAUAAGCCCCGGCUAACUUCGUG
rnacentral:rRNA from 1 species